rnacentral:rRNA from 1 species
GACGAACGCUGGCGGCGUGCUUAACACAUGCAAGUCGAACGGAGUGGCGAACGGGUGAGUAACACGUGGGUGCUCUGCCCUGCACUUCGGGAUAAGCUUGGGAGACUGGGCCUAAUACCGGAUAGGGCCAGAUGAGCUCGCGGCCUAUCAGCUUGUUGGUGGGGGAAUGGCCUUCCAAGGCGUCGACGGGUCGCCGGCCUGAGAGGGGGUACGUCCACAUUGGGACUGAGAUACGGCCCAGACUCCUACGGGAGGCAGCAGUGGGGAAUAUUGCACAAUAGGCGGAAGCCGGAUGCAGCGACGCCGCGUGGGGGAUAAAGGCCUUCGGGUUGUAAACUCCUUUCGACAGGGACGCGGUACCUGUAUAAGAAGCACCGGCUAACUACGUGCCAGCAGCCGCGGUAAUUC